UACGUAGGGUGCUAGCGUUGUUCGGAAUCAUUGGGCGUUAAAGCGCGUGUAGGCGGUCAGGCAAGUCAGGAUGUGAAAUCCCCUGGGCUCAACCCGAGGAAGUGCAUCCGAAACUGCUUGGCUAGAAGACGGUAGAGGAAGGUGGAAUUCCUAGUGUAGAGGUGAAAUUCGUAGAUAUUAGGAGGAAUACCGGUGGCGAAGGCGGCCUUCUGGGCCGAUCUUGACGCUGAGACGCGAAAGCGUGGGGAGCAAACAGG
rnacentral:rRNA from 1 species